AAUAACAGUUUAAACCCCCAAAACUAAAACCCUACCGAAUAGAAAAAUCCAGCCAAACGGUAUUAAAUGAACAGGUUUACGAGUGGAACAGAAUUGACCCUUUCAAGACCCGACGUUUUCAUGUUUAUAGAAAACUUGUUUAACUUGUUGUUUUAAAUCGAGCCCUGAAGAAGGUCCCAACAAGGACCGAAACGUUGGCGAAGAUUCUAAAAUAAUCAACGCAAAGGUUCUCUAGACUGAAUAGCCGAAAAAU